rnacentral:piRNA from 1 species
UUUUAAAAAAAAUCUGUGGUAUUGUUCC